UACGUAGGGUGCAAGCGUUAAUCGGAAUUACUGGGCGUAAAGCGUGCGCAGGCGGCUUUGCAAGACAGGUGUGAAAUCCCCGGGCUUAACCUGGGAACUGCGCUUGUAACUGGCAAGCUGGAGUGUGGCAGAGGGGGGUGGAAUUCCACGUGUAGCAGUGAAAUGCGUAGAGAUGUGGAGGAACACCGAUGGCGAAGGCAGCCCCCUGGGCUAACACUGACGCUCAUGCACGAAAGCGUGGGGAGCAAACAGG
rnacentral:rRNA from 1 species